GCCAGACUCCUACGGGAGGCAGCAGUGGGGAAUAUUGCACAAUGGGGGGAACCCUGAUGCAGCGACGCCGCGUGGGUGAAGGAGUACUUCGGUACGUAAAGCCCUAUCAGCAGGAAAGAAAAUGACGGUACCUGACUAAGAAGCCCCGGCUAACUACGUGCCAGCAGCCGCGGUAAUACGUAGGGGGCAAGCGUUAUCCGGAUUUACUGGGUGUAAAGGGAGCGUAGACGGUCCUGCAAGCCAGAUGUGAAAGCCCGGGGCUCAACCCCGGGACUGCAUUUGGAACUGUAAGGCUAGAGUGUCGGAGAGGCAGGCGGAAUUCCCAGUGUAGCGGUGAAAUGCGUAGAUAUUAGGAGGAACACCAGUGGCGAAGGCGGCUUUCUGGACUGUAACUGACGUUGAGGCACGAAAGUGUGGGGAGCAAACAGGAUUAGAUACCCGUGUA
rnacentral:rRNA from 1 species